rnacentral:rRNA from 1 species
AGUGAACGCUGGCGGUAGGCCUAACACAUGCAAGUCGAACGGCAGCACAGUAAGAGCUUGCUCUUACGGGUGGCGAGUGGCGGACGGGUGAGGAAUACAUCGGAAUCUACUUUUUCGUGGGGGAUAACGUAGGGAAACUUACGCUAAUACCGCAUACGAUCUACGGGUGAAAGCAGGGGAUCUUCGGACCUUUCGCGAUUGAAUGAGCCGAUGUCGGAUUAGCUAGUUGGCGGGGUAAAGGCCCACCAAGGCGACGAUCCGUAGCUGGUCUGAGAGGAUGAUCAGCCACACUGGAACUGAGACACGGUCCAGACUCCUACGGGAGGCAGCAGUGGGGAAUAUUGGACAAUGGGCGCAAGCCUGAUCCAGCCAUACCGCGUGGGUGAAGAAGGCCUUCGGGUUGUAAAGCCCUUUUGUUGGGAAAGAAAAGCAGCAGGUUAAUACCCCGCUGUUCUGACGGUACCCAAAGAAUAAGCACCGGCUAACUUCGUG